GUGGCGAACGGGUGAGUAACACGUGGGUAACCUGCCCAUCAGAAGGGGAUAACACUUGGAAACAGGUGCUAAUACCGUAUAACAAUCGAAACCGCAUGGUUUCGUUUUGAAAGGCGCUUUACGGUGCCGCUGAUGGAUGGACCCGCGGUGCAUUAGCUAGUUGGUGAGGUAACGGCUCACCAAGGCCACGAUGCAUAGCCGACCUGAGAGGGUGAUCGGCCACAUUGGGACUGAGACACGGCCCAAACUCCUACGGGAGGCAGCAGUAGGGAAUCUUCGGCAAUGGACGAAAGUCUGACCGAGCAACGCCGCGUGAGUGAAGAAGGUUUUCGGAUCGUAAAACUCUGUUGUUAGAGAAGAACAAGGGUGAGAGUAACUGUUCACCCCUUGACGGUAUCUAACCAGAAAGCCACGGCUAACUACGUGCCAGCAGCCGCGGUAAUACGUAGGUGGCAAGCGUUGUCCGGAUUUAUUGGGCGUAAAGCGAGCGCAGGCGGUUUCUUAAGUCUGAUGUGAAAGCCCCCGGCUCAACCGGGGAGGGUCAUUGGAAACUGGGAGACUUGAGUGCAGAAGAGGAGAGUGGAAUUCCAUGUGUAGCGGUGAAAUGCGUAGAUAUAUGGAGGAACACCAGUGGCGAAGGCGGCUCUCUGGUCUGUAACUGACGCUGAGGCUCGAAAGCGUGGGGAGCAAAC
rnacentral:rRNA from 1 species